ensembl:lncRNA
AGGGAUCGAAACUGGUCUUUCACAUCUCCUGCACUGGCAGGCAAGUUCUUCACCACUAGCACUACCUGGGAAGCCCAUGAAGCACAGGGCUUCCCUGAUGGCUUGGUGGGUAAAGGAUCUGCCUACAAUGAAGAAGACCUGUGUUUGAUCCCUGGAUCGGGAAGAUCCCCUGGCUUCCCAUGUGGUUCAGCUGGAAGCUAAUAUUUGUUAUUUAGUAUGGCUUUUUAUUUUGAACUGUGAUGUUGGAGAAGACUCUUGAGAGUCCCUUGGACUGCGAGGAGAUCCAACCAGUCCAUUCUGAAGGAGAUCAACCCUGGGAUUUCUUUGGAAGGAAUGAUGCUAAAGCUGAAACUCUAGUACUUUGGCCACCUCAUGCGAAGAGUUGACUCAUUGGAAAAGACUCUGAUGCUGGGAGGGAUUGGGGGCAUGAGGAGAAGG